UUGAACGCUGGCGGCAUGCUUUACACAUGCAAGUCGAACGGUAACAGGCCGCAAGGUGCUGACGAGUGGCGAACGGGUGAGUAAUGCAUCGGAACGUGCCCAGUCGUGGGGGAUAACUACUCGAAAGAGUAGCUAAUACCCCAUACGAUCUAUGGAUGAAAGCGGGGGACCGUAAGGCCUCGCGCGAUUGGAGCGGCCGAUGUCAGAUUAGGUAGUUGGUGGGGUAAAGGCUCACCAAGCCAACGAUCUGUAGCUGGUCUGAGAGGACGACCAGCCACACUGGGACUGAGACACGGCCCAGACUCCUACGGGAGGCAGCAGUGGGGAAUUUUGGACAAUGGGCGCAAGCCUGAUCCAGCAAUGCCGCGUGCAGGAAGAAGGCCUUCGGGUUGUAAACUGCUUUUGUACGGAACGAAACGGCUCUGGUUAAUACCCGGGGCUAAUGACGGUACCGGAAGAAUAAGCACCGGCUAACUACGUG
rnacentral:rRNA from 1 species